rnacentral:snoRNA from 1 species
CCUGCAGGAUAGUGUGUAUCGGCCUAAUGCUUUAAUGCUAUGCAUUUUUUGCCGAAAGUGUUUCCUGCUAUAUCGAUUAGAGGAAAGUGGGCAGUUGGGUUAAGCUUAUCUCUGCUUUCUCCAACAAUCAUUUUCCCCUCAUUA